ACCGCAGUCCCGACGUUUAUAACCCCCCAGCCAGCAAUUUGACACCUCUAUUCGAACAGGUAGCCUAGUUAGCUUCGCGGGAGACAAUACCUGCGCGUCUCGCAGAAAAGCGACGUCAGGUUUUUUGGAAUGGUAGGCAACUGCCCUGGGAAUACGCCCUAUUUAGGUCAAUAAACACACGCGGAAACGAAAGGGAAAAUACAACAGAUUAAGUACGAGUGGAUAUUCGAGUUCUCAAAAACCGGGUUUGAUCAACAGAUAACAUGUGGCUGCUUAAUUCGUCUGACAGGUCCAGCGCAUCGUUGGAACACAAAUAUCUAACGGAAUUCCACGACUUUUCAGUCAAUCAUCUUCUGCGUUAAUGCUGCCUCAGUGCUGUCAAUCUGUUUCAACCACUGGAGGGAGGGAGAGGCAGAGGGAGAGCAGAGGGAGGAGGAAACAGAGAAAAGCUGACAGGAAACCAGGAGGAGGUGUGACUGUAAAUACAAUGUGCAUAGGCUAUAGGCAUCUACAGAAGCCACGUAUUUCAUGUAUGGAGAAUGAAGUGAUGAAUAUACCAAAUGUUAAUAACUAUUGGGACACAGAUCAAGCAUACCACCUUAGUUUAAUCUUUUUUUUUUUGAGGAAAGUGCUUAGUUUGGAGUCACACACUUUCAGCCAUUCGUUAUUAGUAGCGACUACCACUGAUCAAUGACUGUUAAUAGCUCACUGAAUGUACUAGGCAGUGAGCAAACUUACAGGGCCACGACUUGCUAGUUAAUUACACGACGCUAUCGUGUUUGUAAGAAAGAUGGGAUGAAUUGCAUAUGAAUUGGGUAUAAAUCUGAGCAAUUUUGUUCACACAAUGUAUUCCUACACCUUAAUGACCACUGCAUACACCUGUAAAAACUUUGCAAAUGAUUCAUGUCAGUGAAAAAAAUUUGGGCUGAUGUCAAGAUGUUACGUUACAUUAGAGAACAGCGUUUUGCAUAACAUAUUAUGAUCCUGUAAAAACCAUACCAUUUGCUAAUGAUUGACAUAUAAAGAUGUUAAGCAAUGCAACCGAGUUCACACUUGCUUCAAGAAGGCUUUAGGGAUAUACACUUAAUACAGAAUUUCCAUUACUUUCCAAGAAUAGCAGGGUAUAUGAUAUCUUUCUGUAUCAUUCCAGGAUUCAGAUAUUUAGAGCAUACUCUAGGACCGUGGAAACACUGUCUCGUAAUGAAGUGCGUGAAUCCUUGUGUCUAGAGUCUCUGUUUACAUUGCUGUAGCAUUGUAAAUAACCACCCCUAAAUAACGUUACAUUAACAUGAAGACAGUGUUGCAUAAGGUGUGUUGUGCAUGGGAGGCUUGACCACAGAUGCAUGUUUAUUGCAGUACCAAUAAAUGCCACAGUAAUGCAAUGCAGGACAUCUGCUGACCGAAGAGACCUGAAGAGAUACAUUGUGCAUUACACAAUUCAUUCACUAGAUGUCCCCACAACCUCAGUCAGUAACAUAAAAUACAAGCAGUCUGCCACAGGUGCACAUCAAAUGCAAAUAUGGUGGUAACCGACCAUGUUCCUGGAGAUCUACCAUCCUGUAGGUUUUCAUUCCAAUCCUAACAAAGCACACCUCAUUCAACAGCUGGAGAUCUUGUUGAGCAUUAGUAGAGCCAGGUGUGCCUAAUUACAGUUGAAAUGAAAACCUACAGGAUGAUAGAUCCCUAGGAACAGGGUAGGUUACCGUUGCUCUACAGCCUGACUUCUCAAUACCCAUACUCAAUAACAAUAAUUAAAAAACAUUUUUUUGAAGAAAAUUAGAUUCAAAGCAUUAUAGUGGCUCCCAUUUUAACACCACUUUCGCGAAUAAACCUGUAUUAGCAGUGAAAGGGGGGAGUGAAAUAAUAAAUAAAAAAACAUGACAUGGAGGGUAAAAAUAAGUCUUUAUUCAAAACAGAUGACAAACGGGACAGUUUGUGUGGGGAAAUAGGUUCGAAGUAUAUCACUCUUUAAGUGGACCUUUACCUUUUCACAGAGAGAGAGCACUGUUCCUGCCUGUAUCACAGCUACCUGCUCUUCAUUGCGCAGGUUCUUGGGGGAAGCAGACAGAAGAAAAGAGUUUUUAUUCAGAGAAUGAAAUGGUAGCGUUUAACUACAGAAACCUACUCAGAGAUAUGAGUUCAUUUGAAAGCGCAUAAAAGCCAACUAACCACUGUUGAAACCAUAGACCGUAUAAAAAUAGGUUGGAACCUGAGGGACCAAACUUCUCCAGAGAAUUAGCAGAACUGCUAACCAUUUUUCUUUAGCAAGUACUGACUUUACUUGUUUGUAAGAAGCUGUGCAUUACCACCAACAUCAAAGAAACAUAAAUAAACACACUGCAAACUCUAGCUUGGUAAGGUGUGCCAUUGCAGAAAGUCUCCAUAUUGUGCUUUGUUUUGGACAGGAACACUUCUAUCCGGACAGGAGCUCCUUGUGAACUAUCAUUCAGGACCAGACCUCUUGCUUUAUAAGGCGCUGAAAAAAAAACACCAGGUCUUCCUGAUUUAAAAUUUGUUCCAGCUUCCAUAGCAGCUUGUGGUCCUGUUUCCCCAAGCUGACAAGUAGCUGUUCUAACAGUAAAUCAUUUAUCAUGCUUCUGGUAACUGUGAAAACAGAAUAAAAACGUACCCCGUUGUCUCCCA